rnacentral:rRNA from 1 species
AUUGAACGCUGGCGGCAGGCCUAACACAUGCAAGUCGAACGGUAACAGGAAGAAGCUUGCUUCUUUGCUGACGAGUGGCGGACGGGUGAGUAAUGUCUGGGAAACUGCCUGAUGGAGGGGGAUAACUACUGGAAACGGUAGCUAAUACCGCAUAACGUCGCAAGACCAAAGAGGGGGACCUUCGGGCCUCUUGCCAUCGGAUGUGCCCAGAUGGGAUUAGCUAGUAGGUGGGGUAACGGCUCACCUAGGCGACGAUCCCUAGCUGGUCUGAGAGGAUGACCAGCCACACUGGAAGUGAGACCCGGCCCAGACUCCUACGGGGGGCAGAAGGGGGAAAUAUUGAACAGUGGGCGCAAGCCUGAGGCAGCCGGGCGGGGGGAAGGAAGAAGGCCUUGGGUUUUUAAAGUUCUUUCAGGGGGGGGAAAGGGAGAAAAGUAAAUCCCUUCGCUCAUUGACUUUCCCCGAAAAAGAAGCACCGGCAAACCCCGUC